rnacentral:rRNA from 1 species
UACGUAGGGGGCUAGCGUUGUCCGGAAUCAUUGGGCGUAAAGAGCGUGUAGGCGGCUUGGUAAGUCCGCUGUGAAAGUCCAGGGCUCAACCCUGGAAAGCCAGUGGAAACUGUCAAGCUAGAGUCCGGAAGAGGCGAGUGGAACUCCUGGUGUAGCGGUGAAAUGCGCAGAUAUCAGGAAGAACACCAAUGGCGAAGGCAGCUCGCUGGGACGUGACUGACGCUGAGACGCGAAAGCGUGGGGAGCAAACAGG